UACGUAGGGAGCAAGCGUUGUCCGGAAUCAUUGGGCGUAAAGCGCGCGUAGGUGGCUUCGUAAGUCCGCUGUGAAAGUCAAAGGCUCAACCUUUGAAAGCCGGUGGAUACUGUGAAGCUAGAGUACGGAAGAGGCGAGUGGAAUUCCUGGUGUAGCGGUGGAAUGCGCAGAUAUCAGGAGGAACACCAAUAGCGAAGGCAGCUCGCUGGGACGUUACUGACACCUGAGGCGCGAAAGCGUGGGGAGCGAACAGG
rnacentral:rRNA from 1 species